GGAUGUCUUCAUAUGUCUUCUGAAGGUCUUUCCUAGAUAUUGACUCUUAAGUCUGAAGGAUUUAAGGAGUGUUUAAUCCACUAAUCCCCUACAGCUGCUUUAAAGAGCACUACUUGCAAUUCUGUACAAGCUAUUGACUGGAGCAUUAUCUGGAAACUUGAAGUGGAGUCAUACUCAAGACAUGUCUUUUGUGACGGAAAAGAGCAGCCGAAAAAUUGAGUGCCUGACCCAGAUCCAGAUGAUGGGACGAACAUCAAGCUGCCACACAAAGAUGCAGAAUGGCUCUCUCCAGGGAACUCUGCUCCGAGGAGGCCUUCCAGAGCCCCAGGGGAACCUUCUCGACCUCCUCCUGUGCUUCUCUGUGCAUCUGUCCUAAGUACCGACUGCAGCUGAAAGCAGUUAUGAAGUUGUCUGUGAAUAAAUCCAGAAAGAAGCA